AGAGUUUGAUCAUGGCUCAGAUUGAACGCUGGCGGCAUGCCUAAUACAUGCAAGUCGAACGGUAACAGGCUUUUCGGAGUGCUGACGAGUGGCGGACGGGUGAGUAACGCGUGGGAAUCUGCCCUGUAGCGGGGGACAACCUUAGGAAACUGAGGCUAAUACCGCAUACCUUCUACGGAAGAAAGUAGGCCACUGAAUAUGCUUACACUACAGGAUGAGCCCGCGUUGGAUUAGCUAGUUGGUAAGGUAAUGGCUUACCAAGGCUACGAUCCAUAACUGGUCUGAGAGGACGACCAGUCACACCGGGACUGAGACACGGCCCGGACUCCUACGGGAGGCAGCAGUAGGGAAUAUUGGGCAAUGGGCGCAAGCCUGACCCAGCAAUGCCGCGUGUGUGAAGAAGGCCUUAGGGUUGUAAAGCACUUUCAGGAGGGAAGAAAAGGUUAGGAAUAAUACGCCUAACUCAUGACGUUACCUCCAAAAGAAGCACCGGCUAACUCUGUGCCAGCAACCGCGGUAAUACAGAGGGUGCGAGCGUUAAUCGGAAUUACUGGGCGUAAAGGGUGCGUAGGCGGUUAGAUAAGUUAGAUGUGAAAUCCCUGGGCUCAACCUGGGAACUGCCUCUAAAACUAUCUAACUCGAGUGCAGUAGAGGAAAGUGGAAUUUCCGGUGUAGCGGUGAAAUGCGUAGAUAUCGGAAGGAACAUC
rnacentral:rRNA from 1 species